rnacentral:rRNA from 1 species
AUACGAAGGGGGCUAGCGUUGUUCGGAAUUACUGGGCGUAAAGCGCAUGUAGGCGGACAUUUAAGUCAGGGGUGAAAUCCCGGGGCUCAACCUCGGAACUGCCUUUGAUACUGGGUGUCUAGAGUGUGGAAGAGGUAAGUGGAAUUCCGAGUGUAGAGGUGAAAUUCGUAGAUAUUCGGAGGAACACCAGUGGCGAAGGCGGCCACCUGGACCGAUACUGACGCUGAGGUGCGAAAGCGUGGGGAGC